GCGGGAUUAGCUCAGCAGGUUAGAGCAUUUGCCUUACAAGCAAGGGGUCACAGGUUCGAGUCCUGUAUCCCGUACCA
rnacentral:tRNA from 1 species